UUCCGGUUGAUCCUGCCGGACCUGACUGCUAUCGGAUUGGUACUAAGCCAUGCGAGUCAUUGUAGCAAUACAAGGCGGACGGCUCAGUAACACGUAGUCAACCUAACUCGUGGACGUGGAUAACCUCGGGAAACUGAGAAUAAACCACGAUAGACCAUAGUGCCUGGAAUGGCUUAUGGUCCAAACAGUUUACUGCCAUGGGAUGGGACUGCGGCCUAUCAGCUUGUUGGUGAGGUAAUGGCCCACCAAGGCGAUUACAGGUACGGGCUCUGAGAGGAGAAGCCCGGAGAUGGGUACUGAGACACGGACCCAGGCCCUAUGGGGCGCAGCAGGCGAGAAACCUUAGCAAUGUGCGAAAGCACGACUGGGUCAGUCCGAGUGAUUCCUGAUAAAGGAGUCUUUUGCUUGUCCUAAAAGCACAGGUGAAUAAGGGGUGGGCAAGUCUGGUGUCAGCCGCCGCGGUAAUACCAGCACCUCGAGUGGUCAGGACGUUUAUUGGGCCUAAAGCAUCCGUAGCCGGCUUUGCAAGUCUUCGGUUAAAUCCACCUGCUCAACAGAUGGGCUGCUGGAGAUACUAUAGAGCUAGGAGGCGGGAGAGGCAAGCGGUACUCGAUGGGUAGGGGUAAAAUCCGUUGAUCCAUUGAAGACCACCAGUGGCGAAGGCGGCUUGCCAGAACGCGCUCGACGGUGAGGGAUGAAAGCUGGGGGAGCAAACCGGAUUAGAUACCCGGGUAGUCCCAGCUGUAAACGAUACAGACUCGGUGAUGAGUUGGCUUCUUGCCAACUCAGUGCCGCAGGGAAGCCGUUAAGUUUGCCGCCUGGGGAGUACGGUCGCAAGACUGAAACUUAAAGGAAUUGGCGGGGGAGCA
rnacentral:rRNA from 1 species